AAAAAAACAAACCCUGAGUUUUCGUGUCCAACGUUUGACUAUCCGUCUUAUAUGAUUUUUUUUUAUAAUUAGUAUUUUUAUUGUUGUUAGAUGAUAAAACAUGAUUAAUACUUUAUACGUGACUUGUCUUUUUAACUUUUUUUCAUAAUUUUUUUAAAUAAGACGGACGGUCAAACAUUGGACAGGAAACCUAGGGUUUGUCUUUUU
rfam:Oryza glumipatula chromosome 9, whole genome shotgun sequence.